rnacentral:rRNA from 1 species
UACGAAGGGGGCUAGCGUUGCUCGGAAUCACUGGGCGUAAAGGGUGCGUAGGCGGGUCUUUAAGUCAGGGGUGAAAUCCUGGAGCUCAACUCCAGAACUGCCUUGAUACUGAAGAUCUUGAGUUCGGGAGAGGUGAGUGGAACUGCGAGUGUAGAGGUGAAAUUCGUAGAUAUUCGCAAGACGACCAGUGGCGAAGGCGGCUCACUGGCCCGAUACUGACGCUGAGGCACGAAGCGU